AUUGAACGCUGGCGGCAGGCCUAACACAUGCAAGUCGAGCGGAUGAGUGGAGCUUGCUCCAUGAUUCAGCGGCGGACGGGUGAGUAAUGCCUAGGAAUCUGCCUGGUAGUGGGGGACAACGUUUCGAAAGGAACGCUAAUACCGCAUACGUCCUACGGGAGAAAGCAGGGGACCUUCGGGCCUUGCGCUAUCAGAUGAGCCUAGGUCGGAUUAGCUAGUAGGUGAGGUAAUGGCUCACCUACGGCGACGAUCCGUAACUGGUCUGAGGAGGAUGAUCAGUCACACUGGAACUGAGACACGGUCCA
rnacentral:rRNA from 1 species